GAAAUGCGAUAAGUAAUGUGAAUUGCAGAAUUCAGUGAAUCAUCGAAUCUUUGAACGCACAUUGCGCCCGCCAGCACUCUGGCGGGCAUGCCUGUUCGAGCGUCAUUUCAACCCUCAGAACCCCUUGCGGGAUCUGGCGUUGGGGAUUCGCAUCCAGCCAGCCCCGAAAUCUAGUGGCGGUCCCUCCGCGACCUCCCCUGUGCAGUAGCGAUACCUCGCAGCGGGACAGCGGUCUGACCACGCCGUAAAACCCCCAACUUCUCAAGGUUGACCUCGAAUCAGGUAGGAAUACCCGCUGAACUUAAGC
rnacentral:misc_RNA from 1 species